UCUUUUGCUGAGCUCCUUUGUCAUUCCACUUCUGCUUCUCAUUUUCCUGCUUUUUAUUUUUGUAUCUCCAUCUGUCUCCUGCUUGUUCUUUUCAUCUUCAUCUCUUUCUUUCUCUCGUCUGAUUAGGAAGUGGCCCUCAGCAGGUGCCUCUCAUACUUUUUGGCUCUUGAGCUAAAAUCAUUGGCCAGCCCUGACUGUGCGAGGGAACUCAUUCAGUGAAUCAGAUAGGAUUGGUUUCCCGUUCAACCUUUCGGAUCCUAGGGCUUAUGAAGAAUAACACCAAGCACUGCCUUUGGGAAGCCUUCUUGCAAGCUGAAAGUGAAAGAAAGUGAAAGCAGAGAUUCUCACAUAAUCACUUGACCUCCAGGAGCUGAGUCUUUAAGAGAAACAACAAAUAUUGUGACACUAGCAAUAAAAUCAUGAAAGCCGGUAAUACUGAAGUCAAUGGAGUUACAUCAGGAAAAAGUCAUUUACUGAAUGUAUCUGGAGUCAACUACAUACAAAAGAGAUUAGAGUGAUUAGAGGAUCAAGAAAGAAAAACCAUCACCAGAAGAUAGGGGACUUAAUUGUCUUCUAACACCAAUUGUAUGAAUCAGAAGUAACUCCACAGAUGCUAAUGGGCCAGAUUCUGUCUCCCACUAUGGCCCCUUUAUGUCACUUCUGUAGUGCAAAGAGGCUAUAAAGAGGUCAGAAUGGUAUUGUGGUGAAUGCUGGGAGAAUGGCUGAGGAUAACUGAGGUGGUGUAUCAGCAUAGGAAGGGGAGUGGCUGGAGCACACUGCUCUGGCUAAUCUGGGCUGCAAAGCAAAGCAGCCAUGCAAAGCUGCUGUAAAUUAAAGCAGCCACUGGGCUGCUCUAACUCAUUCUGGGGUCAAACUGGAGCCCAGAGCACCCCCCGAAUAUGGAAGGUACAGCCCCAACUGGCAUUCCCCUUCCUGGGCUGCUAAUUCAAUGCUGCACCCCAUGAGCACAGCACAAACUAUGGCCCACUGCAGUUACACUUCUGUAAAACUGGUGUGAGAGGAGACUGAGAGCCACAAUCUAUGAUAGCUUGAGAAAUAUCAAACAAAUGUACAAUAUGCCUAAAGGAAAAGCAGAACGAAUGCUUUGAAAAGUUUCCUAAACAGAAGUGCUUUUUACCCUGCCAUUCAAAUGACCAUGUAAGGGCCUGUGGUGCAAGGAUGAAACAAUAUUUUUAAUAGGGAAACAAAGUUCAGAACUUUUUCAAACCUCAAAAAAAGGUUUCGCUCAUUUCAAGUUUUGGGUGAAGAUUUGGGUCAAGUUUCAGGGUGGUUUCUCGACCCCUAAUUACUAUUAUUAACACUCCUAAAUGUACUCUUUAGAAAAUCCUUCUGCUAAGGAGGGCUUGAGUGAGCUAAUGAGUAUGAGAGAGAAAAGAAGGUCCCUGUUUCCAUUUUAAAUACUUCAGCUCACUAAUUGGGGACCAGAGUAGAAUUCUUCUGUUGGAAUGGGUAGAGUUCAGGGAGAGGUGGGAGCAAGAACAAUAUUUUUUAGACCUGUCACUUUAAAAUAUACCCACUGCUGCUUUGACAUGGCAGCCAAUGUAUUUUAAAGUAACAAUAAGUAACUCUAUCCUCCCUUUAGGCUCUUGCGGGGUUUAUUUGUUUUUAAAAAAUGAGCCAGGCAGGUUUUUCCAAGGUCUCACAGCUUUAAUGAAGAAUAACAAUCUCUGAUGAUCCUGGCAACAGGCAUCUUCUAUUUCUAAAUAAAAUUUGAGAGUCAGGACGCCUUGCACCUACAGCUCUGUUAUUGUGUAGCCUUCCAGUAUUAUAAUAGCAAAUGGACUCCCCACAGAUAGUUGUUUCAGUCAGAGAGUCACACUGUCUCCAUAUUGUUGGUUGGAUUUUUGGAUGCUGUUUUUGCUAUUGCAUGCAUCAGCUCCACACCUAUACACACCCUGAUUGUCCUCCUCAGAGGGCUUAGAGCGCCAGUAAUUUUAUCCAGAAGGUACAGCAUGAGGGAGAUAUUUGAUAUUUUAUUGCUGUAGAAAACUAUUUCAGUAAUCAGUGCCUGAACUUGGUUGCUAUGCCCUUCACAUUUUUCCUCCCAAGUAAAGAAUGAGGUUUUAUUUGGCACAAAAUACUCUUCUUCAUCAAAUUCUGUUGGACAUUUGAAAGUUGUCAUACACUCUAGUGAUAUCAAUUGGUGAGUCUGUGGACGUUGAAAUGAUUUAGACUCAUUCACAACAUUAAAGAACUGCAGUUUGACUAAACCCAGAAUUUUUAAGGAUGCAUUUCCAAAGCACAAACAACGAGUAUGAGUGACUCUCCAUAUCCAGAAAAAUGUUCUGUUUUCCACAAGCUAAGGAAUUUGAUAAACUGAAGUGUUUUGCUUUGACUGAUAUUUUGGCCAAUUAUUGUUUGUUUUUCAGUUACACAGGGAGAAAUCCACUCCUGUGCAGGACUAUGCAAUGCAUAAGGACCACUUAUGCCCUAUUUUGAGGGCUUAAGUGGGAAUUGAGUGGUGUAUAGCACGUGUGCUGUCCCUUUGCACAGGGAAUAGUCUACAUGCACGGUUACAAAUUAACCAGGAGGUUUGUUUGUGGAAAUAAUGUUGUGCACUUAGUAACCCAUUUUUGCACUUAUAUAGGUAUAUAGCAAUACCCUUUUAAACUCUGUUCUUCAACUGGUAUAAAAAAAAUCCACAUAUAAAUGUAGAAAAUUUGACUCCACAGAAAAGAAUUCCUUAAGACUGAUGCAGGGUAAUAACACCUAGUAGUGUUCUGUGUAUAUAAUUCCUAUUAGUGUUAAUGUGUGGAUCGAUGACAGAACUGAUCUUUACUUGAGGGGUGGUGGGAGGAUAUGCUACUCUUAAGGUGACCAGAUGUCCCAAUUUUAUAGAGACAGUCCCGAUUUUGGGGUCUUUUUCUUAUACAGGCUCCUAUUAUCCCACCCCCCCUGUCCCAAUUUUUCACACUUGCUGUCUGGUCACCCUACCUCCCCUUUCAGUCUUACAGUGGAGGGAAAUAUCUUCCCCUGUAUGAGUGCUGGCCACCUGUUCCAAGACGUUAGAGACUGAUCCUGUAAAAUACUGAGUGGAGGAAUGGGAGCUCAGAACAUUGCAAAGUGUUUAUACCAUCUACCACAAGCAGGAGCAAUAAAAUUGUGUUUAACUGGGGUCAAAGUGGAUUGUGCUUUCCAUAAGAGCAACUAGGUUCUUGUUAAAUUUGAAUAGGUAGUCUAUUUUUGUUUGUCUGCUAAUUAAACAUAUUUUUAAACAAUAGUUCCCCACUAAUUUAAGACCAGUCAACUAGAUAGAAAGAUAGAUAGCUUUGAUGAGAUUUUGGCUCACAUGAGGCCAUGUUGGGGAAACUGAGGCAGGGAAUAAAACAACAGUCAUCUAAUUCUGAAAAUAUAUUUGCUAUAGGAGAGUCCUCAUAAAAAUAUUUUGUGCAAAGUAAUUCCUGCUUCCUGUCACUGUGUAUUUGCAAUGGAAUUAUUGAAGCUUUUGACUGGGGUCCAUUUGUUUUUCAAUGUGCACUUGUUAAUAUAUUGUAAAUUUACUCUUCAUGUCUGGUUACAGUUCCAUGAUGAUUUACCUUGUUGACCUCUCCUCUCCUGGACAGGCAUGGCUAUCUUUCUCACACAGGGACAGACAGCUGUUUUCAAUACCAUUUCCAAAAGACAAACCUGAAAGAACUGCAAGGUGCCAUCCGUGCACUCUGAACACAGAUUUAUGAAAAGACUUCUUAAGAAAGAAAGAAAGAAAAUUGGCAGCUCCUUCCACCCAUGAGCUCUGCAGUUGGCCACUUGGAAUGAACUUAAAUAGCAUCUGAAUAGGUCAUCUAAAUGUAUUUUCUCUUUUAAGUAGGUUUAAGCAAAAGCAGAUUGCUGUUUCUCUUUUCUUGUUUCCUUGACAUCAGAAUGUGAUGCUGCCUGUCUGAAGGCCAGACACAGAAUGAGGUGUAUGUGUGGAACAUAUGGAAUUGGUUUCCCUCUCAAUGAUAAACACAUGAAUUUC